GAUGAACGCUGGCGGCGUGCCUAAUACAUGCAAGUCGAGCGAACAGACGAGGAGCUUGCUCCUCUGAAGUUAGCGGCGGACGGGUGAGUAACACGUGGAUAACCUACCUAUGAGACUGGGAUAACUUCGGGAAACCGGAGCUAAUACCGGAUAACAUGUUGAACCGCAUGGUUCAACAGUGAAAGAUGGUCUUGCUGUCACUUAUAGAUGGAUCCGCGCCGCAUUAGCUAGUUGGUAAGGUAACGGCUUACCAAGGCAACGAUGCGUAGCCGACCUGAGAGGGUGAUCGGCCACACUGGAACUGAGGCACGGUCCAGACUCCUACGGGAGGCAGCAGUAGGGAAUCUUCCGCAAUGGGCAAAAGCCUGACGGAGCAACGCCGCGUGAGUGAAGAAGGUCUUCGGAUCGUAAAACUCUGUUAUUAGGGAAGAACAAAUGUGUAAGUAGCUAUGCACGUCUUGACGGUACCUAAUCAGAAAGCCACGGCUAACUACGUGCCAGCAGCCGCGGUAAUACGUAGGUGGCAAGCGUUAUCCGGAAUUAUUGGGCGUAAAGCGCGCGUAGGCGGUUUUUUAAGUCUGAUGUGAAAGCCCACGGCUCAACCGUGGAGGGCCAUUGGAAACUGGAAAACUUGAGUGCAGAAGAGGAAAGUGGAAUUCCAUGUGUAGCGGUGAAAUGCGCAGAGAUAUGGAGGAACACCAGUGGCGAAGGCGACUUUCUGGUCUGUAACUGACGCUGAUGUGCGAAAGCGUGGGGAUCGAACAGGAUUAGAUACCCUGGUAGUCCACGCCGUAAACGAUGAGUGCUAAGUGUUAGGGGGUUUCCGCCCCUUAGUGCUGCAGCUAACGCAUUAAGCACUCCGCCUGGGGAGUACGACCGCAAGGUUGAAACUCAAAGGAAUUGACGGGGACCCGCACAAGCGGUGGAGCAUGUGGUUUAAUUCGAAGCAACGCGAAGAACCUUACCAAAUCUUGACAUCCUCUGACCCCUCUAGAGAUAGAGUUUUCCCCUUCGGGGGACAGAGUGACAGGUGGUGCAUGGUUGUCGUCAGCUCGUGUCGUGAGAUGUUGGGUUAAGUCCCGCAACGAGCGCAACCCUUAAGCUUAGUUGCCAUCAUUAAGUUGGGCACUCUAAGUUGACUGCCGGUGACAAACCGGAGGAAGGUGGGGAUGACGUCAAAUCAUCAUGCCCCUUAUGAUUUGGGCUACACACGUGCUACGAUGGACAAUACAGAGGGUAGCGAAACCGCGAGGUCAAGCAAAUCCCAUAAAGUUGUUCUCAGUUCGGAUUGUAGUCUGCAACUCGACUACAUAAAGCUGGAAUCGCUAGUAAUCGUAGAUCAGCAUGCUACGGUGAAUACGUUCCCGGGUCUUGUACACACCGCCCGUCACACCACGAGAGUUUGUAACACCCGAAGCCGGUGGAGUAACCUUUUGGAGCUAGCCGUCGAAGGUGGGACAAAUGAUUGGGGUGAAGUCGUAACAAGGUAGCCGUAUCGGAAGG
rnacentral:rRNA from 1 species